rnacentral:lncRNA from 1 species
GAGACAAAAUAAAAAGUUUUUUGCUCCUGAAAGGUAGAAGGUCAUCAAUGAAGAAGUCAACAAGCUCCUCGUAGCUGACUUCAUCAGAAAAGCUACUUAUUUCGAUUAGCUCACCAACAUAGUGACGGUGAGAAAGGCCAAUGAAAAAUAAAAAAUCUGCAUCGACUAUACAAAUCAGAAUGAAGCUUGUUCGAAAAAUAAUUUUUCUUU